AUUGAACGCUGGCGGCAGGCCUAACACAUGCAAGUCGAGCGGAUGAGUGGAGCUUGCUCCAUGAUUCAGCGGCGGACGGGUGAGUAAUGCCUAGGAAUCUGCCUGGUAGUGGGGGACAACGUUUCGAAAGGAACGCUAAUACCGCAUACGUCCUACGGGAGAAAGUGGGGGAUCUUCGGACCUCACGCUAUCAGAUGAGCCUAGGUCGGAUUAGCUAGUUGGUGAGGUAAAGGCUCACCAAGGCGACGAUCCGUAACUGGUCUGAGAGGAUGAUCAGUCACACUGGAACUGAGACACGGUCCAGACUCCUACGGGAGGCAGCAGUGGGGAAUAUUGGACAAUGGGCGAAAGCCUGAUCCAGCCAUGCCGCGUGUGUGAAGAAGGUCUUCGGAUUGUAAAGCACUUUAAGUUGGGGGGAAGGGCAGUAAGUUAAUACCUUGCUGUUUUGACGUUACCAACAGAAUAAGCGCCGGCUAACUUCGUG
rnacentral:rRNA from 1 species